rnacentral:rRNA from 1 species
GGUACAUUAUAUGUCUACCGUGGUUGUAACGAGUACAGAGAAUCAGGGUUUGGUUCUGGAGAGGCCGCCUGAGAAACGGCGACCACUUCCAAGGAAGGCAGCAGGCGCGCAAAAUUACCCACUCUCAAAACGAGGAGGUAGUGAAGAGAAAUAACGAUGUUAGUCUUUUUUAGGCUGACAAUCGGAAUGGAAAAACUCUAAAAAGGUUAUUGAUUAACAAUUGGAGGGCAAGUCUGGUGCCAGCAGCCGCGGUAAUUCCAGCUCCAAUAAGGAAAACUAAAGUUGCUGUGUUUAAAAAGCUCGUAGUUGAAUUUCGGGUAUUUGUUGCUAGUUGGUCUUUUCGGCCAUAUUGGUUAACAGAUCCUCACUUGCUGGACGGCUGGCGAUGAUCUUUAUCGGUUGUCGUCAGUUGCCAGAACGUUUACUUUGAGAAAAAUUAGAGUGCUAAAAGCAGGCUCACGCCUAUAUAUAUUGCAUGGAAUAAUGAAAUAAGAUCUCGUAUUUUAUUUCGUUGGUUUAGAAUUGAGAUAAUGAUUAA